rnacentral:rRNA from 1 species
UCCCCUAGUAACUGCGAGUGAAGCGGGAAGAGCUCAAAUUUAAAAUCUGGCGGCUUUUUGGUCGUCCGAGUUGUAAUCUGGAGAGGCAUUUUCCGCGUUGGACCGUGUACAAGUCUCCUGGAACGGAGCGUCAUAGAGGGUGAGAAUCCCGUCCAUGACACGGACCGCCAAUGCUCUGUGAUAUGCCUUCGAAGAGUCGCGUUGUUUGGGAAUGCAGCGCAAAAUGGGUGGUAAAUUCCAUCUAAAGCUAAAUAUUGGCGAGAGACCGAUAGCGAACAAGUACCGUGAGGGAAAGAUGAAAAGCACUUUGAAAAGAGAGUUAAACAGUACGUGAAAUUGUUGAAAGGGAAACGCUUGAAGUCAGUCGCGUUCCGUGGAACUCAGCCUUACUUCGGUUUGGUGUACUUUCCAUGUGAACGGGUCAACGUCAAUUUUGGCCGGUGGACAAAGGCAAGGGGAAUGUAGCGUCGCUUCGGUGACGUGUUAUAGCCCUUUGUUGUAUACACCGGCUAGGAUUGAGGACCGCAGCACGCCCUUUGUGGCCGGGGGUUUGCGCCCUACGUACCGUGCUUAGGAUGUUGGCAUAAUGGCUUUAAGCGACCCGUCUUGAAACACGGACCAAGGAGUCUAACAUGCUUGCAAGUGUUCGGGUGGAAAACCCUUGCGCGUAAUGAAGGUGAAAGUUAGGAGCCCCUUCUGUCUGGAGGGGGUGCACUGACGCCCGGCCCUGAAGUUCUCUGACGGUGCUGCGGUAGAGCAAGUAUGUUGGGACCCGAAAGAUGGUGAACUAUGCCUGAAUAGGGCGAAGCCAGAGGAAACUCUGGUGGAGGCUCGUAGCGAUUCUGACGUGCAAAUCGAUCGUCAAAUUUGGGUAUAGGGGCGAAAGACUAAUCG